AGCUUAGCGUUUUUUAUGGUAAGUAAUUUCUGCCCAAUGAAAUUUAAAUGGCCGGGUAUCUUGACCGUGCAAAGGUAGCAUAAUCAUUUGCCUUUUUAUUGAAGGCUAGAAUGAAGGAAAAAAUAAGAAUAUAACUGUCUCUGCCGUAAUAUAAAAAUUGCUGGUAGCGUGAAGAAGCGAAAGUAACAAAAAAAGCAAGAAGACCCUAUUAAGCUUUACUUUUAAAUUUUGUUUUUUAUCUUAAAAGAAUAAAAAACAAAACUAUGUCAGUUUGGUUGGGGUGACUAAAAAGGAAAAAAUCCUUUUUUGGAAAAGUACUUUAAGUUUAAGGAAAGAUCCAAGCUUUUUGAUUAUUAGAAUAAGUUACUAUAGGGAUAACAGCGUAAUUUUUUCAGAGAGUUCUAUUGACGAAAAAGAUUGCGACCUCGAUGUUGACUUGUUGUUUCCUUAUAAGGUGUAGAAGCUAUAAGGGUUAGUCUGUUCGACUAUUAAAACAAU
rnacentral:rRNA from 1 species